GGUCUGGUGGUCUAGUGGUAUGAUUCGCGCUUAGGGCCCACCCUACAGCAAAAUUUGCGCAAGGUUAGCAAAAAUGCGCGAGGUCCCGGGUUCGAUCCCCGGCCAGACCC